CAAGAAGCCGAAAGGCUGCCUAAAACCAUCGCGAACCCAUCCAUCAGCGUUGCUUCGGCGGGUGGCCCCCCUAGGCCGCAGCCCCGACCUCUCCGGAGGGCGGGGCGCCCGCCGGAGGUUCGAAACCCUUCUGUAUCUUAGUGGUAUCUCUGAGUAAACAAGCAAAUAAUCA
rnacentral:misc_RNA from 1 species